rnacentral:rRNA from 1 species
UACGUAGGUGGCAAGCGUUAUCCGGAUUUAUUGGGUGUAAAGGGCGUGUAGGCGGGAAUGCAAGUCAGAUGUGAUAACUAUGGGCUCAACCCAUAGCCUGCAUUUGAAACUGUAUUUCUUGAGUGCUGGAGAGGCAAUCGGAAUUCCGUGUGUAGCGGUGAAAUGCGUAGAUAUACGGAGGAACACCAGUGGCGAAGGCGGAUUGCUGGACAGUAACUGACGCUGAGGCGCGAAAGCGUGGGGAGCAAACAGG